UUACUGAGUUUACGCUCUACAACCCUUUGUGAACAUACCUAUAACUGUUGCUUCGGCGGGUAGGGUCUCCGCGACCCUCCCGGCCUCCCGCCUCCGGGCGGGUCGGCGCCCGCCGGAGGAUAACCAAACUCUGAUUUAACGACGUUUCUUCUGAGUGGUACAAGCAAAUAAUCAAAACUUUUAACAACGGAUCUCUUGGUUCUGGCAUCGAUGAAGAACGCAGCGAAAUGCGAUAAGUAAUGUGAAUUGCAGAAUUCAGUGAAUCAUCGAAUCUUUGAACGCACAUUGCGCCCGCCAGCAUUCUGGCGGGCAUGCCUGUUCGAGCGUCAUUUCAACCCUCAAGCUCUGCUUGGUGUUGGGGCCCUACAGCUGAUGUAGGCCCUCAAAGGUAGUGGCGGACCCUCUCGGAGCCUCCUUUGCGUAGUAACUUUACGUCUCGCACUGGGAUCCGGAGGGACUCUUGCCGUAAAACCCCCAAUUUUCCAAAGGUUGACCUCGGAUCAGGUAGGAAUACCCGCUGAACUUAAGCAUAUCAAUAAGCGGAGGAAAAGAAACCAACAGGGAUUGCCUCAGUAACGGCGAGUGAAGCGGCAACAGCUCAAAUUUGAAAUCUGGCCCUAGGCCCGAGUUGUAAUUUGCAGAGGAUGCUUUUGGUGCGGUGCCUUCCAAGUUCCCUAGAACGGGACGCCAGAGAGGGUGAGAGCCCCGUACAGUUGGACACCAAGCCUUUGUAAAGCUCCUUCGACGAGUCGAGUAGUUUGGGAAUGCUGCUCAAAAUGGGAGGUAUAUUUCUUCUAAAGCUAAAUACCGGCCAGAGACCGAUAGCGCACAAGUAGAGUGAUCGAAAGAUGAAAAGCACUUUGAAAAGAGGGUUAAACAGCACGUGAAAUUGUUAAAAGGGAAGCGCUUGUGACCAGACUUGCGUCCGGUGAAUCACCCAGCUCUCGCGGCUGGGGCACUUCGCCGGCUCAGGCCAGCAUCAGCUCGCUGUCGGGGACAAAAGCUUCAGGAACGUAGCUCUCUUCGGGGAGUGUUAUAGCCUGUUGCAUAAUACCCUUCGGCGGGCUGA
rnacentral:misc_RNA from 1 species